GGCCACGGUGAGAACCUGAGUUCUGUACAGGGGACAGAGGAGAGGCCAGCGGGCCCUGGACACAGCCUGCAGGGAGGGCGUCUGAGGCCAUCGCACAGAGCACCCCAGGAAUCAGAGCCUGAACCUUGCCCGUUGAGAAUCUCACGCUGCCUGGACGUCGGAGUGGACAUCUGUGUUGGUUCCUCUUUGCUGCAACUCGAGUUCCUUGGCCUGAAGGGGCCGCGUCACACUUAGUCUCGGGUUAGGGACACGGUGCAGUUCUGGGUUUUCAUCCAUUAUUGAUGGCACCACUGUACACGUGCGGGCACAGACUCUUCUGUACUUGGUUCGCUUCCCUUCUGGGAUACAGACCCAGGAGUGGGAUUGAUGAUUCCAGUGGUAACAUUUAUCAUACCACAAACCAUGAGAUGUGUGCGAUUUCUCUUCUCAUUCGAAGUAUUCCUUUUUGUACCUAAGCAUUCUUAACACUGCAGUGUUUUUCCUAAAGAAAACCCCAGAAUUGUCCCAGCUUCAGGUCCCACGGAGCCUAGAUGUGCCCCUGGAGAGCUCCAGGUGACCCCUUGACGUAGGGAGAGCACACUCCCUUGCCAGGGCCUCUCUGGCCAGAAGCCAAGACAGAGAGGCAAGUGUGAGCCUUGUCCAGUUACAAGGGUAGCAGGGCGUGCAGCCCACUCACAGCCAGUUAUACAGGGAAGAUGCCCUGCGCAAAAUAAACAGCCUCUUCUUCAAAACUAUUACAGAUUUUACAAUCAUAAUAGCAUUACAGCAACUGCAAUAAUUAAAAUAAGUGUGUGUCCCUCUGAGCGCAGAUGCUGUGUGACUAUAGGGAUCACACAUCCAGGCAGUUGGCCCCAAACCAACCACGAGUUAAUAGAAAGGAGAAGAGAAGGAGAAGGUCUUAGGGUGACGUGUUCGCAGUCUGGGAGGAGAAUGGGGUCUCUCCUGCAGGUAGCCGGGGAGCUGAUAAAAGACACAGAAUCUUCAUGGCUGUCCACUACCCGUCAGGCCUGCCCAGAGUUUAUUGAUUCUCCCAAAGGCUGUUUUGAAACCCAGGGAGCAAAGAGCAUGUGAUUAUGGUCUAUACCUAAGAGAAAGGUCAUGGGACGUGUCUCAGCUUC
rnacentral:lncRNA from 1 species